GUGUCGCCUGUCAGAAGGUCUUGGCCGCGUCGCAGUCCGCCGCCCGCCUCCCUCUAGUCAUGACGCCCUCCCCUUCCUUCCUCCUCCUUCUUCUGCUUCUGCUGAGCCUCCAGGGGCAGCCUGCGCAGGCCGAGGAGGAGGAUACGACCCUUGAGUUGGUGCAGAUGCUUUACCGGCAUGGGGACCGUUCACCCAUCCUCAUGUACCCCACAGACCCCCACAAAAAUGUCUCUGCCCUCUGGCCUGCAGGACUCGGCCAGCUCACUAAGAGAGGUAAAGUCAUGCAGUAUGGGUUAGGACGGUGGCUGCGGAAUCGGUAUGAGGCACUAGUGGGGCCCGCUUGGGUGCCGGGAGAGUUGAACGUUCUUAGCACUGAUGUUGACCGCACCCUCAUGUCUGCUGCAUGCAACCUGGCCAGCUUCUACUACCCAAAGGAGCCCAAUGAGCGCUUUGAGGCAGACCUCCCCUGGGUGCCCACGCCCAUCCACACUGUGCCCGCUGCAUAUGACAAGCUCCUUAGCGUGGACGAGGCAUGUCCUAGGGUUUUCUUGGAGGAGAAGCGGGUUCAAGAACUGCCUGAGGUGAAGAAAGUGAUUGAGGCCAACCAGGACCUCUUCAAGUUUGUCACUGAAAAAUCUGGUGUAACAGUGGACAACGUUACCACCUUAAGCUACCUCUUCGAUACUCUUUACAUCGAGUCUCUCUACAACCUGACACUGCCAAACUGGGCAAAGGAAGUGUAUGACAGGAUGAAGGAAAUCAAUAACUUCAGCUUCAAGCUAAUGGCAUACACCCAAGAGCUUAAACGUCUCAGGGCAGGGCCGCUUAUCAAGGAAUUUGGCCACAACAUGAAGGUGAGGACUGCUGGUAGUGCUUCUCAGACCAAGAUGUUCAUGUACUCCGGCCACGACAAGACUGUAGCCUCAUUGCUGGAGGGCCUUGGAGUGUUUAAUGGGGUGGCACCUCCCUACAUUGCCACUGUCCUGGUGGAGCUGCACAGGGUCAAUGACCAGCACUAUGUGAAGAUGUACUACUGCAAUGACACCGCCAUGACGGAGGCUCCUCACCCCCUCAUCCUGCCAGGCUGCUCAGAGAGGUGCCCUCUGGAUAAGUGGCUGGCACUUACAGCCUCAGUAGUGCCACAGAAUAUGGACAAGGAGUGCCACUCCCCCUCCCCCUUUGACCUUCCUCUCAAUGCCUUAGCUGGUGGUAAGCACUAAGACACAGUUAAACACACAUACACACAACAAGACUCAGAUGAGGAACCCCGCCACUAGUGCUGCAAUUGCUCUAGGGGUGCUGCUGCUCAUCCUGGUGACUUACAACCUCAUCACACGGCACCACCAGAAGAGCCACUUUGCCUACCAAGCCGUCCCGAGCUCUAGCCCCUAACUCAGGCCAGGCCACAGGGGAGUGCUCAAGGAGCCAUCACACCAGCCAGUGUUCCAGCUCAUCACCUGCCACAUGAGUUGCCUACUGAAGUGGGAAGGUGUUGAAAAUUAUGUCACCAUUUCUUGUGUGAAAUGUGUCAGGUAAAUUUUUUUAUUGGUGUGAUGGCAACCACAGUUGUGAUUUUCGAUGUUUUAUUUUUAUAUCAUGUCCGAGCCGGUGAGAACAACAUUACAUGUGUGUGGGCAAUUUUAGAGUUGUGUAAUGGUUGCAAUAUUUUUGUUGUCCAGUAUUUAUUUCUGAAGUGUUGUUCAUAGGUUUUAGUCUUUUAUAUGCAAAGAUUUUUUUUAAUAUUUAAUGGAUGUCCUCUUUUAUGGUACAUAUAUUUUAUUUUUAAGGUUGUGAUGAAAUUUGUUGGCACCCACAUCUUGACUUAUGUUGUAUGGAGCCAGAUCAUAUAUAUAUAUAUAUAUA